rnacentral:tRNA from 1 species
GCUCGGAUGGUGAAGUGGUAACAUACCAGUCUGCAAAACUGGCACGCGGGAGUUCGAAUCUCCCUCCGAGCU